AGGUGGAGAAGAGAGAACGAGGGUGUCGGCCAUUUUGUGUCUGUUUCCUGAGGGACGCGGUGGUGGCGGUUGGUUCGGAGACGAGGGCGAUCUUCUUCUGGCUUGUCCAGCUUCUUUCCGCCUCCUUUCUACCCGGUCUGUAGAGCGCAGUUAUGGGUCGCAAGAAGAAGAAGCAGCUGAAGCCGUGGUGCUGGUAUUGUAACAGAGAUUUUGAUGAUGAGAAGAUCCUUAUACAGCACCAAAAAGCAAAGCAUUUUAAAUGCCAUAUAUGUCAUAAGAAAUUGUACACAGGACCUGGUUUAGCUAUUCAUUGCAUGCAGGUGCAUAAAGAAACCAUAGAUGCUGUACCGAAUGCAAUUCCUGGGAGAACAGACAUAGAAUUGGAAAUAUAUGGCAUGGAAGGUAUUCCAGAAAAAGAUAUGGAUGAAAGACGGCGACUUCUUGAACAGAAAACACAAGAGAGCCAAAAAAAGAAGCAACAAGAUGAUUCUGAUGAAUAUGAUGAUGACGAAUCUGCAGCCUCAACUUCCUUUCAGCCACAGCCUGUUCAGCCUCAGCAAGGUUAUAUCCCACCAAUGGCUCAACCAGGACUGCCUCCAGUUCCAGGGGCACCAGGAAUGCCUCCAGGCAUACCUCCAUUGAUGCCAGGUGUUCCUCCCCUGAUGCCAGGCAUGCCUCCAGUUAUGCCAGGCAUGCCACCUGGAUUGCAUCAUCAGAGAAAAUACACCCAGUCAUUUUGCGGUGAAAACAUAAUGAUGCCAAUGGGUGGAAUGAUGCCACCUGGACCUGGAAUACCACCUCUGAUGCCUGGUAUGCCACCAGGCAUGCCCCCACCUGUUCCACGUCCUGGAAUUCCUCCAAUGACUCAGGCACAGGCUGUUUCUGCACCAGGUAUUCUUAAUAGACCACCUGCACCAACAGCAGUACCUGCUCCACAGCCUCCAGUUACUAAGCCUCUUUUCCCCAGUGCCGGACAGAUGGGGACACCUGUAACAAGCUCAAGUACAGCUUCAUCCAAUUCAGAAAGUCUGUCUGCAUCUUCUAAAGCUCUGUUUCCUAGCACAGCACAAGCUCAGGCAGCUGUCCAAGGACCUGUUGGUACAGAUUUCAAGCCCUUAAAUAGUACUCCUGCAACAACUACAGAACCCCCCAAGCCUACAUUCCCUGCUUAUACACAGUCUACAGCUUCAACCACUAGUACAACAAACAGUACUGCAGCGAAACCAGCAGCUUCAAUAACAAGUAAGCCUGCUACACUUACAACCACCAGUGCAACCAGUAAGUUGAUCCAUCCAGAUGAGGAUAUAUCACUGGAAGAAAGAAGGGCACAGUUACCUAAAUAUCAGCGUAAUCUUCCUCGACCAGGACAGGCUCCAAUUGGUAAUCCACCAGUUGGACCAAUUGGUGGUAUGAUGCCUCCACAACCAGGCAUCCCACAGCAGCAAGCAAUGAGACCUCCAAUGCCACCUCAUGGUCAGUACGGUGGUCAUCAUCAAGGCAUGCCAGGUUACCUUCCUGGCGCUAUGCCACCAUAUGGUCAGGGACCACCAAUGGUACCCCCUUACCAAGGUGGCCCUCCUCGACCUCCAAUGGGAAUGAGACCUCCUGUAAUGUCGCAAGGUGGCCGUUACUGAUCUUACUUCAUCAAGUCUAAUAGGUUUUUAGAAGUGAAGUAUAGUAAAUUUGGUUCGUUAAAUUGUGAAGGCGCUGGAAUUACAUGAACAUACCACCUUAAAUAAAGCCCUGCCAUAGGACAGGCUGAGGCUGAGUCUCAGUGUUGCCCUGUUCAGUCUGAGGCAAGUGGGAUUUAUUUUAUUACUUAUAGGGGCUUUCACAGCUUUAUGGCUGUUGGAUAUUUAUGUCCCCAAACUUGCAGCAAGUUUGGUGAAGGCCCCUAAAUUUAAUUAAAUUUAGGGUUUUUAUAUUCCUUUGGCAGAGAAGGCUCUAUAUUAAUAUUCACGUUUGACUGUGGUGUUAAUAAGCAUAAAUAAGUGUUGUUUUUUUUUAUUAUAUAAUAUUUAAAGCUUUAUGAACCUUAAUAAAUUGACCAUUUUACAUUCUUGAUUUGGAGGCAUGAAUUGUUUUUAUUCAAAUUUUUACUAUGAACUCUAGGGAAAUCAUAAUGGUUGUUUUUUGCUUUAACUUAAAUUUAACCUCAAGGAUAAGUUUAAUUACUUGAAAUGCUACAGGAUACUGGUUUUUAAAUCCCACGCUUACAUUGAACAUCAAGGUGGUAAGGUCAUCUGGAAAUGCUUAUGAUCUUUAAUAUGUUUUCAGAUCUCACCACACUAGAGCAAAUGUUAAUGUAGAGCCCUUGUGAUGAGUGAGAAGGUGAUGUGUCUGUGCUUGUGUGGUGUGUAUGGUUCUAGUUUACAGGUGUGGUAUUAUAAAAGGGUUUGGGUACAUGUAGUCAAGUCAAAUUGAAAUUGGGUCAUGUGAUAAAUAAUAAACUGGUUUGGAAUGACUUUUUGGAAGCUAAUUUUCAGCUUUUACUUUAUGAUGCUUUAUGUUAUAUGCACGCACCAGUAGUCUAUCCACAUUUGUUUUCUAUUAGAAUUUGCUUUGAUUUUGCCAUUAAAAACUUUGUUGGGGAAUUGGGAUGGUGCAGAAAGUGACUUCUCACUUGUUUAUUUCUUAUAUUAGACUGGAAAUACAUUUUAAUCCCUUUUUAUUGUUUAGUUUUGUGGUUAUUUUGUUUUUGGUUUUUUUGAGAUGGGGUUUCUCUGUGUAGCCCUGGCUGUCUGGAAUUCCUGUUUACCAGGCUGGCCUCCAACUCAGAUCUACCUGCCUCUGCCUCCCCAGUGCUGUGGUUAAAGGGUGAGCCACCACACUUGAGUAGAUUUUUAAAGCAUUUAAGAACUUUACCAUGAUAGUAGUCCACUGAGAUGUUUUAUACCUCUUAGUAAAUUACAGAUUUUUCUGUAGACUUGUUAGGGGGACUUCACUAUACAAGACCCUGGAUUUCUUUCCCCAUCAUUUAUCGACAGUGAUUAGAGGCAUUCUUUGAGCUUGGCAUAAUGGUUCAUAUCUGUAUUCCUAAGAGUUGGGAAUUUGAAGAUGGACUCUGAGUUUGAGGUCAGCCUGGGCUACAGAGUAUAAGACCCUGUCAGGGUGGAGAUUGGGUUGUUGAUAAUGUCCUUUAAUGUUCCUGUGACCCAGAGAACCAGAUGAGUACCCUAUAAUAAAAGUGCACUGGUAAAACUUGGUAAAUACUACUGGCUUCACUUUAGUGAGAGACAGUUUGAGUAAGCUAAUGAAUAUGCAAUUUUUACAUUUGUAUUGGUUAGAAUUUACUAAGUUUGUUACCUAAAUUUUUAAUAAAUCCGAUACAUAAUUUUUUAAGUUAAAUUAUCUACGUAAGACUGAAGUCAUGUCUCCAAAAAUGAAACUAAUUUUCUUGUAACUCCAAACUGAGAAUCAGGUGACUGGACAGGUAAACUUCAUUGAGUAAACUAUUCCCCUGUUCUCUGUUAUAGCUUCCUCAUGAAUGAAUUUGAGGGUUUCUCCUUUUUAAUCUUUUUUAAUAUUUGGGGGUUUUUGUUAUCCAGUUCAUUUUAAUAAUCUUGUUUUUAUGGUAAUACUAACUUUUUCUUGAGAUAAUUCUUUGUAAAAUAAGCACUUCAACAAGCCUGGAAAUGGUGGCAAACUACUUUAAUCCCAGCAUUUGGGAGGCAGAGACAGGCGGAUAACCUGGUCUACAGAAUGAAGCUCCAGGAUGUCAGGGCUACACAGAGAAACCUUGUCUCCAAAAAAAACAAAAAAAAAAAAAAGAAAAAAAGAAAUGUGCUUUAACAAAUGUGGUAUAGAGUCACAUGUGUUCUCUGAACUUACGUAAUGCUGUUUUUUCAAAACCAGUAUUGCAACUGUUAGAUAUCCUCAAUAGAACUUUAUUAUAUAUUACUCGGAUAGAUUCAGAGGAAUUAGAGAAAGGUCAACUUUAGUUUAAACUGCCAAGAACCUGAAGUCCAGUUGUUUAUUCCAAGUGAUUUCCUUAUAUUAAACAUUAGGUUUUAUUAUUAUUUUACCUGGCAAUUUUGUUAGAAUAUAAGGGACUCUUACUUUUUUUUUUUUUUUUUUUUUUUAAGCCCAGGUGUGGUAGUACUCUGGAGGAUGAGAUGAAAUCAGGGCUAUUUCUACAAGUAUAAGGCUAGCCAGGGUUAGAGUCAGACCCUGUCACAAUUUUUUCCUAUGGUUGUAGUGGUACAUCCUCUGAUCUCACUACCUAGGGUAGAAGUUGGCAAAUGUCUGAGUCAUUGUCAGCCUGCUAAGUUAAGUUCUAUAUACUGAGACAGUGUCCUUAAUUUUUUUUAAUUCAAUAAGGCUUAAUAAAGGCUUAGAAAGGUUUUUUAAUAAGCACUUUUUUCUCCCAAACCCCGUGCAUUCUUUAAUAUUUUGUUCUUCAAAAAAGAUAUUUUCAACGCUAGCUCUGGAUGUCAAUUUAAAAUGAAACUAGUUUGAAAGAAUUGAAUUCAUUUUUCUAUAUUAGUUUCAUUUCCAGGGAAGAAUAUUUUAGUAAAAAAAACUUAGACUCUGGAAGUAACAAUAUACAGCCUAAAGCCAACUAAUUUCAAGUGUUUCUGUUUAAAUAAAUCUUAAAUAUAUUGAGUACUAUGUAAUAAAACUGCCUUAAUAGAUAGAUGUUAACUUUGGAUUAGGGUCUUGAGGAUGAAGAUGACUAAUAGGUCUUAUGUAUCCUGUCAUUUUGAACAGAUUACAGAGGGGAUAAAUGUGUGUACAUUGUCUUAAAGGAUUGUUUGGACCCCAGCCAUUAUUUUAAAUGUUGCUGUGUUUUGUAAGGUUAUAAGGGCAAUUUUAUUAACUUAAUGUGUGGCAUUUUUUUAAGCCCUCUGUCAUUGUUUGGGGAACUUUGUGUGUAUGUGAUUUUUGUUUUUGUUUUUUUUUUGUGGGGGGGGGAUUUCUUAUUGUGGUUAAAAAAAUCUGCCUUUUGUUAAAUUUGAGGGAUUGGUAAUGAAAUUCACUGAUUGCCCUACUUGAAGAAUGAAGCUGGAGGUAGCUCAGUGGCAGAGUGUGUGUUAAGCAUGCAUGAAGCCCUGGAUUCAACCCCAGCACCAAAACAUAGAAGAACGAAGACUUCUGUUUCCCCAAUAUAAUAUACAUUAACUGAUUCUGAUUAGAAAGAAACUUUUUUGGUGAGUUUAGAUUUAGGAGAUCUAAAUGUUAUGAAAACAACCGUAUUUCUGCCAUUUUUUUUUUGUGUGUGUGUGUGUCUUUGAGACUUUGCCCUUUUAUUUUGGUGAAGGUCAUUAUUAUUUUAUUAAGAUGGUCUGUCAAUCUCAUAUGAAAGUAUCAUUUCCACUGUCUUUUUAGGGUUGUUUACUUGCCUAAGUUGGCCAAGAGAAGAAUAAUUACAGCUCCUUAUCAUUUGCAUCAGAAACAGAACAUCUAUUUAGAGUUAAUUCCUCUUUACCUGCCAGCUGGUUAAUAUACUUGGAAGAAAAGUAACAGAAUUUAUAACCACUUUUUAAAAUUUGAGAUUAAUAAAAUUUCAGAACUUAGUUAAAAUUGCCUUUAAGAUUUGUUCGCAGGCUAAUUGAAAUUGAAAGGUUUUCACUUUAAACACAUAUAUGCCCCUUGCUUUUUAGGGCAACCAAGAUUUCCAGCACACUUCACACACUGAAUACAUUGUUGAUUAAAAUUAAAGCAUAUCCAAGAGAUAUUUCAGUGUUGAUAGUUCAUUAUCAAGAUGACUCAGUUUCAGUAGCCAGUGUAAAGUAAUCAUUGUUAAACUUAGGCAAACUUUUAACAUGUACUGCAAUCAGGCUCUGAGGAAAUUAAAUGCACAGUUGACUUUUUAAAAGUAUGGGUUGAACUCCUCAGUUUAAUACAAUUUGUGUUUUUGUUAACUAGCAGCAGAAUUUCAGCAUUUGCUACUUACUGGUAGAGAAGAAAAACCCCACAGCCCUGCCAGUACAGGUUAGUUUAAUCUGUAAGUACUUGAUGUUCCUUUUUUUUUUUUUACUCCCCCCAACCAUACUCAUUUAACGCACAUAAGGAAGAAAGCUGCUGUGCAGUUACUUAAAUGUGAGUAUAAAUAAUAGAUCCAUUGGAUGUUCUCAAACACUCAGUUCUUGGUCCAGGGUAGCUCUAGGCUUGCUGGCUUCAGUUGUAAUAAAGGUGUGAUGCUGCUCCUUUAUUAUCUGGUUGUUCUUGAACCUAUGUAGAUACCUUUAUUAUAAAAGGGAGAGAGGACAUACUUUCAGCUCAGUCCAUGGCUUCUGGUCCAGGGUCAUUAAUUAGGCUAUUCCAUGGUAGAUUUUAGUCACCCUUUACCUUCUACAGUGUGGAGCAACUAACUUAUAAAUGCUGUAGGGAUACUUGGAAAUAAUUUGUUGGUCUGUAAGCUGUAAAUUACAUUAGCAUGCCACUGUGGAUCAUCACUGAUGUGGAAGCUCCCUGCUCAUUCAGAGCUCUGCAGGCAGAGGUAGAAACAGCUUGAAUUUAAGGCCAGGCUGGGCUGUAUGAUUCCCAUAUUCUCAUGUAAUUCUUGGAGUUAAAUGAGGAAGUCCUGUUUCUUUGCUUGAGGUUUAAACAAAAGUAAGUUGAAUGGUGAUUAACCAUCCUUCAGUUAGGUCGUUAUUAUCUUAUUUGGGAACAAUAUGAUUUGUUUAAAAAUUUAAAGAUCUGUAGCCAGUAAUAAAAAUACUCUGGGUAUUUUUUCCAUUUUGCUUUUUCAUUGUAAAAUUGCCUGAGGGCUUGCUUAAAUUUGAUUGCCUUUCACAGUUUAAGAAUGGCAGAGAAACAGUGGAAAUGGUUUUCCUUAAAACCAUCUCUUUAGAGCUGCUUUUCUGGUGAGUACUGCUUUAUAAUUUUCAUCAAGGGUUUAUUUUUUAUUUUUUUAACCUGACUAAAACAUGACAGUAACCAAAAUGAGCAGUCAGAAUUUUCACAGCUCAGGUAGUAAUUGAAUCAAAAUGGUUACUGCGUGACAUUUCCCUAUGUUCCCUAUUUGGAAUCACCAAUUUCCCAAAGGCCUGUAGGCACAGAAACAUUGAAAAUGGAUUAUUUUCUUUGGUGAGGAGAAAAAAUUGUUUUGUUUUUAAUUAGUGUUUAAGAAAGUUUAGGGACAGGAGAGAUGGCUCAACAGCAUGUCAUUCUCCAGUUGUGAUGCACACCUUUAAAUCUAUCGCCAGGGAGGCAGAGGCAAGUGGAUCUUUUUGAGUUUCAGGACAACCAAACCGUGUAGAGGACAACCCCCACCCCAUCUGCAAAAGAAAGAAAACCAAACAUUACCUUUUUCCCCCCAGUGAUCUUGUUUCUCACUGCAGAGAUAUAUGAACUAAUAGAAUUGUAUUCUGUUCCUGGGUAGUUCUUGAGCAACUUAAAUCAUUCUGACCCAGCAUGGAAAUGACUAUAUCAUUUCCUGAUACUGAUUUGUUUACCUGUGAACAUUAGCCUGUAACAUAAGGAUUUCUUUCUCUAGUUUUUAGCUAGAUUCUGGAUAAUGCCAGUAUAUUUGUAUAUACAUUGUAUCGCUGCUGUGGCCUUUGCGAAUCAAUAAAGUCAACCUUGUUGCUCUUUAGUAUGAAGAAUACUAGUUUUCUAAACUCUGGAAUUCAUAAUCUGAGUAUAUGGUAAUGUAUUCUAGAUGAGCUCUCAACAGAGUUUUAAGCCUAAAUUUGUGUCUUGAAGACUUAAAGUGAAAUAAUUUUUUUUUAAGGAACUCUUGUCCUUUGUAGCUUGGAUAAGCAGUGACAGUUGGUAAGUAUGUAACGUCAAAUGCAUGUAGUAGUGGUGAGGGUGAACUGCCAAACUGUAUUCGAAGACAAUUAGAAGUGAAUCCUCCUAGGAACUUUAUAUGUACGCUUCAUGCUUUCUUCAAAUCUGUGUAUUCAAAUGAUUAAACUGAAAUGCACCUUACUCAUUUGUCUGAUUUGGGUUGUUUUUUUGUUGUUGUUUGUUUUUGGUUUACAACUUGAAAGUUUAAGUUAAAGCCUUCUGUUUUUUAUUUCCAUUUAAAACUAGGCAAAAUACGGUGUCAAAGGGAGAGAACCACUCCAUAAUUUCUGUUAUACUAUAGGAAUCAGUACAUAAUUAAGGUUUAUUUUUAUUUAGGUGCCUGUGGUGUACCCACAUUCAGUUUUCUCUUGAGGCCAGAAGAUUGUCUGAUUCUUACAGCUGGAGCUUUAGGCACUUGAAACCCAUCAUUGAGCAAUCACCAUCCCAGAGCCAGCGUUCUUUAAGUUAAGGGGCAAUGUUGGGUUUUGGUGGUGGGAAGAGGGGUCUUUCUAUAUUUUAUGUGAGCUCCCCUUUCAUAUUGUGAGAGUUACCUCAGGGGUUACAUGGUUUUGGGGGUAUAUAGGCAGAUCAAAGUAUAACUUUAAUUAGAGUGUGUUUCUUUUGUGAGUUCUGGGGAGCCAUCUGGUGUUGUGUGGUAACAGAAGGAUAACAGGCUAAAGGGAAAAGUGUUUAAUAUUAUUUUUGAGAUGUAAGUAAUUUCUUUACAGCAUUUUUUUCCUGGAAAGUUAAAGAAGUGGGUGUGCAUGUCUUUAAUUUAGUCUCCAGAUUUUAUUUCUGACAAGUGUCAGUUGCCUUUGGAGAAAAUGAAGAGCCCAAUCAUUUGAGGGAUGUGAUUAUAUGGAGGAUCUGAGCAAAGCACCAGAGGACGAAUUUGUUUCCUAGCCUGUGUAUGAUUAAGUGAUACAUGGUCAGAAAUCUUGACCAAUGCCAUUUCUUAUAUAACUAAAUUCACUGUAGAAGAAUACAUGCUAACCUUUAAUUCACUAAUUGGAACCUUGUGAUACAUGAAUUUGUUUUCAAAUAAAAAUUUUCCACACAAAUAA